UGGGAGGGCUCAAGGCCUAGGUCCACUGUUGGCUGGGUGUCAGGGUUGGACAGCUGGGCCCGGGCUGAGGGAGGCCAAAGGGCCCAGACAAGCAGCAGCACUACAUUUUCCCAAAGAGAGCCCACAGGGAUAAUAAACCAGGUCUAUUUCCCUGGCCCUAGUGAGAAUUCUGGAAAAAGAAUCAGUAAAAUGGGCCUGGCAAGGACAAGGACGACAGGAGGGCCGAAGAAAGGCACAGCGUGGAGGCCUGAGGUCUGGAGUUGGUGGGGUGGGGACCAGGACCCCAGCAAGGAGCCCAGGCUAGGGACCUAGAGCAGGGCCCAGGACAGGGGAGAACAGGGUAGCGGUAGCAUGGGGCCAGGUAGGAGGGCGGCACUAGGUUUCUGCAGUGCAGGGAACCCAAGGGGAACAGGGAAGCGGCCCAAGCAAGGGGCCCGCAGUCCAAGCCCAGGGACGCACAGAGCAAGAAGGGCCACCAGAGUGUCAAGCGAGCAGCCGGGCUUGGGAAUGCAGAGCCAAGGGCCAGGGCUGGGGCAGGGGGCUCAGAACAGUGGACACGGCUGGGGAGGGAAGGCAGGGGAUCCGGCAGUGGGGAGCCAUGCUCAAGUGACAGCACCACUGCCAGGUGUCAUGGUUUGGGUGCAGGACCAAGGGCCCAGGAAGAGCAAGGGACCCAGGUGAGGGGCAGGGCUCUGUUUCCCACAAGGUGCCCUGGCCCAGAUGAGAAUCAACAGGGCAACAGUAAAAUAGGAAGUUUAUCUACAUUGAACUCUUUCGCAGAGACUCUUUUGCUGACAGUCCUAAAAUCAGUCAUGGUGAAGAUUUCUGGAGAAGCCAGUUAAGACUUUUCUGUGGAGAGAGGGGGUGCCACUUCAAUACAAGGGGAACAGAGGGGAGGCACAGGAGUGGGCCCGAAAAAGGGGCCUGAAAUCAAGGGAAAGGGACAGGGUCCUGGAGAAGGGCAGCCUCAAGCAAGGAGCCAGGCCCAGGAAUAGAGAGCAAAGUGUGUUGGCCUGGGCAGGGGUCCCAUGAAAACAGACAGGACUAGGGAGGGGAGGGAGGUAAGAAUGGGGAGUGGGUGGCACAGGGGGAGGAGGGCUCAAGGCCCAGGUCCACUGCUGGGUGUCAGGGUUGGGAGCAGGGCUGGGCUUGGGGAGGCUAAAGGGCCCAGGCAAGGGGCAGGGCUCCGUUUUCUUCUAGGGAGCUACAAGGGCCAAGAAGCCAGGUCCACUCCCCUAGACCGGGUGAGCAUACUGGGAAAGGGAUAGGAAAGUGGGUCUGGCAGGGACAGGGACAAAAGGAGGGCCAAAGGAGGGCACAGCGUGAAGGGCCAGAGGAUGGUGCUCGAGGCUGGGGCCUAGGACCCCAGCAAGGAGCCCAGGCUAGGGACCUUGAGGAGGGCCCCUGCCAGGGGAGAGCAGGGAAGGACACAGCCAGGCAGGCAGGUGGCACUGCAGUGCAGAAAAACCAAGGGGAGCUGAGAAGUGGCCCAAGCAAGGGGCCUGCAGUCAAGGCGAGGGACGUGCCAGGCAACAAGGGCCACCAGAGGCUCAAGCGAGGAGCCAGCCAGGGAAUGGAGAGCCAAGGGCUGAGGCUGGGGCAGGAGGCUCAGGAGAGUGGACAGGGCUGGGGAUGGAAGGCAGGGCAUCCAGCAGUGGGCGGGAGAGGCAGGAUCGAGGACCAGGGCCGCUGCCAGGUGUCAGGGUUUCAGGUGCAGGACCAAGGGCCCAAGGAGAGCAAGAGGCCCAGGCGAGAGGCAGGGCUCUGUUUCCCAUAAGGCGCUCUGGCUCAGAUGAGAAUCGUGGGCCAGGGACCUGGCAAAAGGGGCCUGGCCAGGGAUAGGGGCCAGGAGGAGGGGAUGGGAGGGCUUGGCGGGGGUCAUGAUGGCUGCGGAGAGGGGUGAGAGCCAGGACUCAAGCAAGGAGCCCAGGCAAAGGACCCACCGGACCAAUGGUGAUGAGGGACCCUAGGAGCAGGGAGACUGCCCAGGGAGAAAGCCGGAAAGAAGAGAAGAAGCGGCGCGAGGACGAAGAGAAUGUGGGCAGGCAGAGCAAGGGGCACCUAUGGGAGUGUGGUAGGGGGCUUAAUCAAGGGGCCACCAGGUCCAACCCAACACGGACGGACACCACGCAACUCCACAGGACGCGACCAAUGCCGUCAGGGGCCCAGGCGAGGAGCCAGGCCUGGGGACUGGUUGGGGAGGGUUGGGUUGGGGUAGGUGCAGCUUGCAAGGCCGUAGGGCAGGAGAGUGGAUCGCCAAGGCCAAAGUCCACGCCAGGCCCAAGUCCACUGCCAGGUGUCAGGGUUUUGGCAUCAAAGGGGGCCCAGGUGAGGGGCAGGGCUGUGUUUCCCAUAGGGAGCCUUCGGGGCGCAGAGACCAGCCAAUUCCACUCCUCUGCCCCAGGUGAGUAGAUCCUCAGAGAGGGAUGGGGACCAUAGGAGGGCCAAAGGAGGGCACUGUGUGGGGAUACCCUGCUUCCUGGAGCUGGGGCGGGAGUGGCUGUGUGGGUGAGGAGCCAGAACCCAUUGGAGGAGCCCAGGCUAAGGAGAAGCAGGGGGAGCGUAUGUUAGAGUCUGUAAACAAGUCAAAAUAACACCUGGCAUCUUGCCAGAGGAAUGUUAGAGUUCAUAAACAAGUCUGGAUGGUGCCUGGCAAAAUGCCAGAGGGAGUGGUUUGAGAAGUAACAAAAGCGAGCCAUUAAGUGUGGAGAUUCCUUAUUGGUUGACUGAUGUAUCUAGUUUAUGCUAAUUAGAUAAGCUGUGUGGAAUGUAUAAAUACUGCUCCUGUCCUACAAUAAAUGGCUCCCACUCCUGCUGUAUCAACGUACACAAGUUAUUCGUCACCCCCCGGUUAUUCUGCCCAGCCAGCCCAACUCCGGCAGAUGGUGGCCCGUACCGGGAGUCCCGGGACACUCGGGGAAUGCUACAGGAUUUUCUUUAGCCAUCCGGAGUUCCUGCCUUCGUCCCAGUGCCAGUGAAAACGAGGGUGGAAGAAUUUCCAGUGUUGCUGAGAACCGGACAAAACUUCGGCUGAGAAACGGACGAGACUUCGGAGCUGUUGCUGUUUCUGCUGCUACAGUUUAGGCUAGCUGCCUGCAGAACUUACCUGGACUGUGAUUUAAGCUAGUUGCCUGCAGAACUUACCUGGACUGUGAGUUAAUCUAUUGAGACACUGCUUUACCUGGACUGAGACAACAAACUAUAAUCUACAACAAAUUGUAACUCGGUAUCUUUGCUAACAGUGUCAUUGCUGGUAUAAUUUUUCCAAGGGCUUCUUGCAUGGAGCCAUCAAUUGGCUUGGUAUUGUGGCAUUUUGUAUCCUCCCUUUCUGUUUGUAGCAGGUUAUUUAUGGUGUUUCUGUAAAAACCACUAUGGUUGUUAUUUAAAUUAAACAAAAGGGGGAAAUGUUAGAGUCUGUAAACAAGUCAGAAUAACACCUGGCAUCUUGCCAGAGGAAUGUUAGAGUUCAUAAACAAGUCUGGAUGGUGCCUGGCAAAAUGCCAGAGGGAGUGGUUUGAGAAGUAACAAAAGCGAGCCAUUAAGUGUGGAGAUUCCUUAUUGGUUGACUGAUGUAUCUAGUUUAUGCUAAUUAGAUAAGCUGUGUGGAAUGUAUAAAUACUGCUCCUGUCCUGCAAUAAACGGCUCCCACUCCUGCUGUA